CCGCGGCCCCGCAGCUCUUCCCUCCCUUCUCUCCUCAUUUACUCCUUUCCUUGGGCGGCUUCUCUCAAGGUUCAAUCCCUCUCCGCGUGUGCCUCUCCUUCCCGGCCGCCCGCUCCCCUCGCCCUCUUCCCGGCCCCCCUCUCCGCCUCCCCCGCUCUCCGCUCCCCGCACCCUCCCCGCUGCCUGCAGCGAAGGGAACCGAUUCCCCCGGUUGGAACACCGACCCCGGCCUCCUUCCCGGGCCCCGUCUCCCGCUGCUCUGGGCAGGUUCCUCCUGGACCACAGGAUGGGUGGGGGGGGGGCCGCGAAGGGACCUGGGGCUUGGGGGUUCCUGGAGUUAACCUGCAGCGGGGCCCCGUGGAUGCCCAAGCCUUUCCAGGACUCCCUAGGCUUCAGCCUGGUCCCAGUGGGACCUGCCGCCCCGGAACAGCCCUUCCCCACGUGUGGGGUCCACGCGGCUGUGGCUGUGUCUUCCUGGGGACUCGCCUCAAAAGCCUUAAGUUCUGCGAAUGACCAUUUAAGACACACAACCCUUUGUCCAUCGCACUUCACAGUUUCCACAGUUCUCUCUUCAUUGUCACAGCAGCCGUGGACCACAGGCCCUAUUUCUCAUCCACAGAGGCGGCAGAAGGACUCUGCAUGGAGCCUCGGGGUCCCAACACCAGCCUUCUGGGCUGGUACCCUCCGGCGCCCCUUCUUGCCCCGAGGCAGGUGGCGGGGUGGGGGCUGAGGGAGCCACCCUGUGGUCCCCUGCUUCCCUCAUUCCCCGGGCUGACUGGCCAUGUCAUGUGAAGAAAGCACUGGCCCAGCUAAGGGCCCCCCCCCAGCCUCAGCCCCCACCCCUGCUCAGGGCCCCCAGCUGCACUCUCGGCGCGGCUCCCUCCCCGCCCCCAUCUCUCCCCAUCCAGCCGUCAGGGCUCUCAGUGGUGGGGGGAGGGCUGGCCCCUGGAGGAGGCAGAGAGAGAGGACCUAGUGUCCCCACCCCUGGUGGCACCUCCCUUCUCAGCCUAAGCUAAGGCUGGGGCGGGCAUGGUGGGGUACUGGGCUGGGGAGAUGCUGGUGGUUUGGCGGCUGCAUUUUCUGAGGCUCUGGGGGCCUGGUUUCUCCUGACCAGGCCGAAGUUUCUGGAAAGCGGAAUCCCCAGUGUGCCCCCCCCACAGAGGGGCCACCAUAUUUCUGGGACCCAGCAGUUGAGGGCAGCCCCCAGGGUAGAGGGGCUGGGCCCGGGUGGGGACAGCAGAAACGGUAACAGCCAGGGAACAGCAGCUGGGCAGCCCUGCGCCGGCCUCUGGGCGCCUGGCGUGUGGACGCCGUGGGCCUGCGUGGAGGGCCUGCGGACCAGAGUUCUCGGUCCCCCUGGUCCCAAACUCUUCCCCCCUUGCCUAGAUACAUGGGAACCUGGGCCCUGGAGUCCAACAGUCCUAGGUUCAAAUCUCACCCCCUCUUACUAGCUGUGUAAUGGGGGGGGGACUGACUCCCUGCCCUGGGGGCCCGCUUCUUCCCCUGUAAUAGGGGCCUAAUGCAGCUGCUUGCCCUCAGGACUGUGGUGAGAGGUGAGGCAUCUGGUGGGGCACCUGGCCCACCCGGGCAUGGGUACCUGUGGGAGCUGCCUGAGGGCCGAUUUCCCCACCCUGCUACCAAGGCCGGCCGAGUAUGGUCAGCCCUGAGUUGGAGCCCUGGCUCUACCAAGCAAGUCACUGGGUCCAUGGAGCCUCAGUUUUCUCCUCCAUAAAAUGGGGCUCACGACCGUCCAACCCUCAUGGGCUGCGCUGAGCUCACGGGGAAUACUCUUAGCACCACCCUGAGUGCUGAGGGUUUGGAUGGGAGUGGCUGCUGAUAGCUGUUUUAUCUGCUGCCUGUCAUUCUAAGUAUUCAGCCCUGCCUCCAGCCCUCCAGCCUGCAGGGGGUGUUCUGUCUCUGUCCCCCACACCGCUUUGUGUGUACAGGCAGAGGUCAGAGGGUGGGGGUGGGGGGCUGUCUGAGUUGAGCCUAGGCCCCCAUGGCCAGUGGGGGGUGGGGACCCGUGCUGUGAGCCCCUCCCCAGUUCAGACACAGGCCCCUGGGCAUUGGGGGGGUUGCUUUACUGUGGGCCUGACGUUGUCCCCAGGUUGGCAGUGGACCAAGGAAAGGAGGAGGGCCCAUCUCUGACAGUGAAACCUCCUUCCUCGGCACCACACCUGCCCCUACCUGGCUUUUCAUUUGUUAAUAAACCUUCAGCCCCUUGAUGGCAGGGACUUGGUCUUAUGCUCUGCUGUGUCCCCUGUCCCCAGUACCAGUGCCUUGAAAAGUGACUAAUGGUUGUCGCGUGUGUGAGUGGGUGAGCAAGUGAAUGAAUGACUCACUGGGUGGCCCUGGGGGUCAGCCUGGCUCUUUCUAGAUGAUCAGAAUCACUGGUGCCAGAAAGGCGGAUGCUGCUGUGCCCUGAGUCUCCUCGAAGGCAGUUGGUAGCCUCCCGGGGGUGGGGUGGGGCAUGGAACAGCCUGGUGCUUCAGGGCACCGCUGUGGAGUCAGCCCUGGGUUCAAGUUCUGGUAAAGGAAGUGGGAAGGGCUGGGGGGGGGUUCUUCACCCUCUGGGGGCCUGGGCCCCCCAGUUCUCCCCUGCCAUCGGUAUCCACUAGAGUCACAGCCCAAACUCAUGUGUUUCAGGUUUAGCGGUCAUUGCCACCUCCACGUCCUUCUGGGUCCCCAGGGCCACUUGCCUGUGAGGCCAGAGCCCCUCCCUCUCUGCAUUGAUUUAUUUCACAGUUUCACUUGCCUCUGGCCCAGCUUGCCUCCUCUUUAUGGCUGCUUUCUGUGGGCACUCGGCCCCUGGCUACGCCUGGUGCUGCCAACCUAGCCCUCCUCGCUCUCCCACCGUGAGGUCCUUUGCAUCUGCUGUUCCCUCUGCUGGAAAUGCCAUUCCUCUUUACUCUUGGCUUGGCUGCUUCUGAGAUGUCGCCUGUCCUCCCAGGCAGCCCCAGCUAUUCUACAGUGUGUGACCAAGUCACUCUCCUGAAUGAGCACACGACGGCUGCUCUUCUGUUUUUCUCGGCUACACUUAGCACAGUCUGGGAGCACCUUGUCACCGUGUUUCUCUUUGCUGUCACCUGGCUGUCUCCUCCUUAGGAAGUCAGCUCCAUGCCCGUUGGGCCAGAGUCUGGCUGGCUCGCUGCUAUCUCCCCGGUGCCUGCAGUGUGUAGCAUGAAGGAAUCACGGCAUUACCAGACCUGAGAGCAAGGCUUAGCAGGCAGUGCAGACAGACCACAGGAAAGGAACGGGCAAACAGACGUGCGUCUGGUCGGACGAAUAAGAGGACGGGCUCUGAAAUAAGACUGCCUGGGUUUAUAUCCUCCCCAGCUCCUGCCCUUGGGCCAGUGGCCUCUCUGGGCCUCAGCUUCCUCAUCUGUUAAAUGGGGUUUGCAGUGGUAAUUACAUCAUAGGGCCGUGGUGUGAAUUAAAUGACAGAAUCUGAUGACUCUCAGGACACAAGGUGGGUAUCAAAUUGGCUUUUCAGCCAUCUCGUGUCCAAAUGCCAACUCUGAAGUCCCCACCCCGCCCCACCUCCACUUCUUCUGUAGUCUUUUUUUUUUCUUUUCCGGGCCGGGAAUGGAAAUUCCCAGGUUAGCAGUCAAAUUGGAGCUCCAGCUGCUGGCCUACGCCACAGACACAGCCAUCUGAGCUGGAUCCGAGCUGCAUCUUUGACCUAUGCUGCAGCUCACAACAACGCUGGAUCCUUAACCCACUGAGCAAGGCCGGGGAUGGAACCCGCAUUUUCAUGGAUACUAGUCGGGUUCUUAACCCGCUGAGCCACAGAGGGAACUCCUCUCCUGUAGUCUUCACCUUAGGAAGACUCCCCACUGCUGGUAAUGCUGCAGUCACCCUUGAUGUUUUUCUUUCUUCUACAUCCACAUCGGAUCCUUUGGCAAAUCCUGAUGGCUCUGCUGGAAAUAAACCCUGAAUCCAGCCAAUUCUCUCUCCCACUGUUGCUGUCCCCACCCAGGCCACCACCCUCUCCCCACGACUCCAUCAGCUCCUCACUGAUCAGCUCCCAGCUUCCCUCUGGCUCCUUCAGUGUGUGAUCCACUCAGAAACCAGAAAGAUUCUUUAAAAACACACAUUGGCUCCUGGCUCGCUCCCUGCGCCCCUCACCCACACUGCCUUCAGGAAUGCCCAGAGAAAAUCUGAGCCUUAAUAAGGUUGUGAGCAUGCGCGUGGCACACCCCCCACCCCACCCCCGCCCCCAGGGCAUCAGGAUGGGCCGCCUCAGGGCCUUUGCACUUGCUGUUCCCCUGUCCAGGACCUCUCGGGGCUCUCUGCAGGGUUCCCUCCCUCCCUUCAACCAGGUUUCAGGCCACCGGCACCUCCUCACUGCCCUGUCCUCUCUUUCCAAACUCCAGCCUUCUGUCCUCCAGUCUAGCCCCUUCCCCUCUGUCCUCUCUAACUUGUCUGGCUCCCCAGCUCUUGAUAUUGGCCUUAUUUCUUUGGCCUCUGUCUCCACCUUCCCUGGAACGCGAGCUGCCCAAAGCCAGGAACUGAGUCUUGCUGUCCUCUCCCUCCUGGCACCUAGGACCAUGCCUGGCAAGAGUGUGUGCUUGUUUGUUGCUUGUCUUGUUUGUUUUUGCUUUUUUAGAGCCCCACCAAUGGCAUAUGGAAGGUCCCAGGCUAGAGGCUGAAUUGGAGCUGCAGCUACCGACCUACGCCACAGCCACAGCAACACCGGAUCCAGGCUGUGUCUGCGACCUACAUACCCCACAGCUCAUGGCAAUACGGGAUCCUUAACCCAGUGAGCAGGGCCAGGGAUCAAACCCGAAUCCUCGUGGAUACCGGUUGGGCUCUUAACCCGCCGGCCACAACGGGAACUCCAAGAGUGUGUGAUGGCCAUGACUGCACCAAUGAAGAAGCGUGGGCUAUUAUGAUGGUUCUUGCUCUGCAAAAGCUGGAGGAAGAGAAGUUGAGGGGGGAGUCCAUGUGAUUGUGUCUAAGAAGAGAAAUCCAGCGGCCUGACCCUGCCUGUCUUCUGCCAGAGACCCGUGGGCCUUCUGUGGUCCGGGCUCAGUCUGCCUGCUGCUAUGGUUACCGUGCACCUCGGGCUCCGGAAGAAAGGCCAGGCCAGGCUGACUCUGCUGUUCUGCUCAGCUUGUCGCACAGCUUCCUUGAGUGGCCCUGGGUCUGGUGGAGAAAGAUCGCAUGCAAAUAUAGGUGGCCACCCCCACCUCGUCUUGGCUUCCUUGUGUCCCAUGAAAAGAGGGGGGCAGGGCUAGCUGUUGUGUACAACCUCCCCACCCCCACCGCCAUGCUCAAUCUGCAUGUGUUGAGGACCCAGCCAGGCUCCCCAGGGCACUUAGGUCAGCAGCCCAAGGGCCCUGCCCUCAGGGAGGUUUCUGGCAGCUGAGAGGGGCCAGGAGACUGGCACCCGUAUAAAACUAGCAAGUGCCCUCUAUGUGAGGGGGAGGAGGCAGGCACCCAGGGAGCCAUCAGCAGAGCCAUCCUGUCCCCUUCUUCCUGCUGCUCACUCACCCUGAUGCGCCCCACCCUGGCUUGGGGCCGGCUGGGCUACUGCAGCAGCGCUGGAAUCCCAGCUUCUCAGCACCCUGGAGUGGGGCAGCUUCUACAACAUCAGGUCCAGGAGUUCCUGCUGUGGCACAACGGGAGGGUGGUGCCUCUGCAGUGCCAGGAUGCAGGUUCCAUCCCCAGCCUGGCAGAAGGAGUUAAAGGACCCUGGGCUGCCGCAGUUGCAGCGUCGGUCACAACUGCUUGCGGCUGGGAUCUCAUCCCUGACCCAGGAACUUCAUAUGCCCUGGGGCAGCCAAAAAGAAAAAAAAAGAAUCAGGCCCACCCCCCCUGAAGAGUUCCUAUCGUGGCUCAGCAGAACCGAAUCUGACUAGGAUCCAUGAGGACGCAGGUUCCAUCCCUGCCCUUGCUUGGUGAGUUAAGGAUCCGGCAUUACCCUGAGCCGUGGAACAGGUUGCAGAGGCGGAUUAGACCCCUAGCCUGGGAACUUCCAUAUGCUGCAGGUGCAUCCCUAAAAAGCAAAAAAAAAAAAAAAAAAAAAAAAAAAGACAGCGCAGCACCUACCAAGAGGUUAAAGGGCUUACUUGAGGCCUCGCAGCUGGUAUGGCAAGAGCUUCCAGAAGGGUGUCUGGCUCUUGCCCUGGCCCUAACUUGACAAGGAUGUCCUGCAAUCGUCUUUCUCAUUUCUCUUCUCCUUCAGCGGGAUGCUUCCACCUGGGUCUUCACGCAGAGCAGAGACUCCUCUAGAAAGCCUUGGGAACUGACCGCAGCUCCCUCAGUAGCUCCUACAGAGUCUGGGGGUCCAGGGCUUAGGCCUCUGAUUGUCACCAUCACUAUCACACUCGUCUCUGUCACCAGCAUCCUCUCCAUCAUCAUCACAUUAUGGGGUGAACUGUGUCCCCCUAAAAGAUAUGAUGAAGUCCUAGCUCCUAGGUCCUGAGAAGGAGACCUUUUUGGAGCUAGGGCCUUUUAAAUUUUUUUGAAUUUAUUUUCUUUUAUUUAAGGGUAGUUGAUUUACCAUUUUCUUUUAUUUAAGGGUAGUUGAUUUACCAAUUGGUAAUUGAUUUACCAAUUUCUGCCGUACAGCAAAGUGACGCAGUCGUAUACAUACAUAUGCAUAUGUCUAUAUAGCCCUUAUAUUGGAGAUCCGGUCUUUACAGAGGAAGUCGAGUUAAGGUCUGCAAAGCGGGCCCUAAUCCAAUAGGACUGGUGUCCUUAUAAAAAGGAAACAUGUCGACACAGAGACAGAUACACACAGAGGGAAGACGAGGUGAAGAGAGAAGACAGAGGCGUGGAGGGUUGCAGCGAACCAUCUAGAAGCCAAGGGCUGCCCGAGCUACCAGAAGCCAAAGGAGAGGCCUAGAGUGGUUCCUCGGCUGGCACCCAGCUGGUGAUACUUCUUCAGGCAGCCGCUCUAAGCAUCACCAUCACUGCCAUUAUCACUGCCAGGGUCACUGCCAUUACCAUCCCUGCGGCAUCAGAGCUAGCAUCCCCUCUGUCUUAGUUUCCUGUGGCUGCAUAACCAAUUACCACAAACCUGGGCCUUAAAACAAGAUUAUUCCUGGAGUUCCCGCUGUGGUACAACGCGGAAUUGGUGGUGCGUCUCUGUAGCUGCAGGACGCAGGUUCAAGGCCCGGCCUGGCACAGUGGGUUGAAGGAUCUGGUGUGGUCACAACUGCGGUGUAGGUCACAGUGCAGCUCGAAUCGGAUCCCUGGCCCAGGAACUCCAUAUGCCAUGGGGCAGC
rnacentral:lncRNA from 1 species